ACUCUCACAGGUGCUGCUCACACAGUCACACAGAUGGUGCAGAUCACGUGAUAGAUAAGACCUACACAGAAAGGUAAAGAAGAAAAACAACAGUUUGUACAAGUGUUCAACAAGUGGUGCUGACAGUGUGUUCAGAAGAAGAAGAAGAGGAAGAAGAGGAAGAACAAGAACAAGAACAAGAACAAGAACUUAUAAACCAACGACAAAUCAAAUCAAAUGAGACACUGUGUUCUUCUGAGUGACAAAGAUGAUCCAGGUGCUGGUGGUCAAUGAGUGGAGCCGAAGGGCCAAGCAGCCUUGUUAAAGAUUAACAGCAUCUCAGCUUCCACACCACCACUGAUCAAGUAGAAGACAAGAUUUGGGGAGAAGUCAUGGUCCACAGUCGACAGAGACCUGGCCGAGGUUCAGCUUCUUGUUAACUAAUCGGUUUGUAAACGCAGUUUGCCGUGCUGUUGUCUCUAUGGAAAUCCUCCCAGAGAAUGAGAUUCUGACAAAACAACUGCGACCCAGAAUUAAAGCCAUUUUCCCCUCAAUGUCAGCUUGUUCUUUUCACAACUGCACAGAAUGGAUCAUUGUUUGUGAAAUGGGAAUCCUUAUCUGCAGAUUGAGCGACGGGGCCUUGUGUCGCUCUCUGCGGUCUGGAGAAGAAAAUCUGGCAACCGGGAUAAUUUGACAGUUUGAACAGAUAGACUGAGAUUCCCCAGAGCAGGAAGAUGUGACUUUGCAAAGUUCCCAUUUACAGCAAAAAGAUUAGCAUUAUCACGGCAGCACCAUUAACUGACUCAUCUACACAGUGAAUGGACACCAUCCUAACAUUACCGGACUGCUUUCACGGAGGAUGUUUGUACUUGGCUGGACUCGAGCCCUGCGUAGCAACACUGUUUGUCCAGGCAACGAACGUUAUGAGGACAAAGUUCAGCCUUCAAGACGCUCAGAACUUCGCAGCUCGGGGAUCUGCAUCAACUUCUCACAUGGAAUUGAUAUUUAAUGGAGCAGGUACGGCGAUAAAUCAACAAAGGUUGGUAUAGAAACAAGUCAGCCAAGUUGUAAUAAAAUUGCCUUCACACAUCAAAGUUGGCCGCAGCGCUGAACAGGGGUUUUGAUUAUAUGGCUGCAGGUGACUGGUGUGUUUCAGUAAAUCAUAAAACAUUUACGUUAAAACAGACGGCCGGCGUGGCACAUUGGAGCCCAUUGGCUUUGGUGAUUGGGUUACCAUUAGCAGCGGACCACUGCUGACCCGGCCCCAGCAGUCUCAUCACGCCUGUCACUGUAGUUAGAUGAAAGCUAAAAUCAAUACUAAGCGAGUCUGAAGAGCAUUAAUAAAUAAAAAGGGGGAAAAUAAAUAAAUAAGCGGCACAAUAAUUACACCUCGUACAAUAGAUUUUAUAUAAUGGGAUAUCUGUGGCAUUUUGAAAACAGAGGAGGUGAUUGUAUAUACAUCCAUAACCAGUGUGUCCCCACAACAAACCAUAAAGAAUCUCCUCCUCCCUCCUGCGCCGUGAGCAGCUCUUACUUUUUCCAGGCAUCUCAUUUGCUAUCUGGAUUUACAGUAACUCAGUAAAAGGUCUCAUGCUCCAGACCCGAGACUGAACUGAAUUGCAAUGAGCUCGUGGUGGACAAAAUGGAAAGCUAAUUGCCUCAGCCUGCACAUGCCCGCUGAAUCAGAUAAUUGCAGAAUGUGCCGUAUGACAAAAGGCUACAGUGAUUGGUGAAUAUGGAUUAGGUCACGUCCACCAGGAGUGAAAGGUCCACACUGGAGGCUACAGAGGUUCAAUGGAUAUGUGACUGUAGUGCAUACAGUGGUUACAGUACAGGAAAACAUUUGCAUUUCUUCUCAUGUGAACUCUUCCUCCUGUCCCCUUACUACCCUAACUAAACCAGUCCAGCAUGUUUAUUGAUUCAUACAGGGACAUGUCAGUAGAUGUGUCAGUCUCUUUUCAGUCCAAUCUCUCUUGGGGUCAGCCAACAGAAACAUCCAUGCACUGGGUUUGAAAAAAAGAUUUGAAUCUAUCAGGUUACUUAAGAAUUUGAGUGCAUUAUUAUACAGCAGUGAAACAGUAGUGUCACUUCCAUACACUGUUGAUGGUUGAUGGUCUCAUUCUGUGGCUCCCAGGCUGUUACACUUAUCUGUUUUAUAUGAUGUUAAUUCAAUAUUUGGGGAUUUGAAUUAUUGGUGGGAUAAUUGGGACCAAUGAGAUCAGGCCCCUUGAUCAAUUUUCACAAUUUUCUGAAAUCGUUUUGAUUUCAUCAAUUAAAUGAUUAUUUGAUCAACGAGGAAAAUAUUUAUCAGAUUAAACGAUUAUGAAAACUAGAACUCACACUCACCUCCACCAAGGCCCAACUUUCUUUCAUCAAGAUCCAUGAAUUAUUCUCUGAGAAAUGAAGAAAAUGUUUGAAAAAUAUCCUGUCUCUCAAUUUUAAAGUGAAAAAAAAAAAUCCUGUAUCUGCCGCCUGUUUUGGAUGUGCACCAAAAUGUUAUAGUUUCUUCCUUCAGUCAUGCCCCACCUCUCCACCACAUAUAAUGGAAAUCGGUUGAGUAUUUUUCCUGCAUGAAAACAUAAUCUCCUUGGUGGAGCUAAUACAUGUUUACCUCUGAACUGUAUGAUAUGGGUGCACAGAAAUUAUGAAUGAUAAAGUAUUUCUAAAUAUCCAA